rnacentral:rRNA from 1 species
AGAUUAAGUUAUUAAGGGCGCACGGUGGAUGCCUUGGCACUAGAAGCCGAUGAAGGACGUUACUAACGACGAUAUGCUUUGGGGAGCUGUAAGUAAGCUUUGAUCCAGAGAUUUCCGAAUGGGGAAACCCAGCAUGAGUUAUGUCAUGUUAUCGAUAUGUGAAUACAUAGCAUAUCAGAAGGCACACCCGGAGAACUGAAACAUCUUAGUACCCGGAGGAAGAGAAAGAAAAUUCGAUUCCCUUAGUAGCGGCGAGCGAAACGGGAAGAGCCCAAACCAACAAGCUUGCUUGUUGGGGUUGUAGGACACUCUAUACGGAGUUACAAAGGACGACAUUAGACGAAUCAUCUGGAAAGAUGAAUCAAAGAAGGUAAUAAUCCUGUAGUCGAAAAUGUUGUCUCUCUUGAGUGGAUCCUGAGUACGACGGAGCACGUGAAAUUCCGUCGGAAUCUGGGAGGACCAUCUCCUAAGGCUAAAUACUCUCUAGUGACCGAUAGUGAACCAGUACCGUGAGGGAAAGGUGAAAAGCACCCCGGAAGGGGAGUGAAAUAGAACCUGAAACCGUGUGCUUACAAGUAGUCAGAGCCCGUUAAUGGGUGAUGGCGUGCCUUUUGUAGAAUGAACCGGCGAGUUACGAUUUGAUGCAAGGUUAAGCAGUAAAUGUGGAGCCGUAGCGAAAGCGAGUCUGAAUAGGGCGUUUAGUAUUUGGUCGUAGACCCGAAACCAGGUGAUCUACCCUUGGUCAGGUUGAAGUUCAGGUAACACUGAAUGGAGGACCGAACCGACUUACGUUGAAAAGUGAGCGGAUGAACUGAGGGUAGCGGAGAAAUUCCAAUCGAACCUGGAGAUAGCUGGUUCUCUCCGAAAUAGCUUUAGGGCUAGCCUCAAGUGAUGAUUAUUGGAGGUAGAGCACUGUUUGGACGAGGGGCCCCUCUCGGGUUACCGAAUUCAGACAAACUCCGAAUGCCAAUUAAUU